UACGAAGGGGGCUAGCGUUGCUCGGAAUCACUGGGCGUAAAGCGCACGUAGGCGGAUUGCUAAGUCAGGGGUGAAAUCCUGGAGCUCAACUCCAGAACUGCCUUUGAUACUGGCGAUCUCGAGUCCGGGAGAGGUGAGUGGAACUGCGAGUGUAGAGGUGAAAUUCGUAGAUAUUCGCAAGAACACCAGUGGCGAAGGCGGCUCACUGGCCCGGUACUGACGCUGAGGCACGAAAGCGUGGGGGAGCAACAGGAGUAGAAUC
rnacentral:rRNA from 1 species